GACGAACCGAGCGAACGUUGUUCGGAAUCACUGGGCUUAAAGGGCGCGUAGGCGGCUUUGCAAGUGACGGGUGAAAUCCCUCGGCUUAACCGAGGAACUGCCUGUCAAACUGCAUGGCUUGAGACCGGGAGAGGUGAGUGGAAUUCCCAGUGUAGCGGUGAAAUGCGUAGAUAUUGGGAGGAACACCAGUGGCGAAGGCGGCUCACUGGACCGGUACUGACGCUGAGGCGCGAAAGCGUGGGGAGCAAACAGG
rnacentral:rRNA from 1 species